rnacentral:rRNA from 1 species
UACGGAGGGUGCAAGCGUUAUCCGGAUUCACUGGGUUUAAAGGGUGCGUAGGCGGGCAGGGAAGUCCGUGGUGAAAUCUCCGGGCUUAACUCGGAAACUGCCGUGGAUACUCUCUGUCUUGAAUACUGUGGAGGUGAGCGGAAUAUGUCAUGUAGCGGUGAAAUGCUUAGAGAUGACAUAGAACACCAAUUGCGAAGGCAGCUCACUGCGCAGUGAUUGACGCUGAGGCACGAAAGCGUGGGGAUCAAACAGGAUUAGAAACCCCCGUAGUCC